GCCUCGGUAGUCUAAUUGGCUAGAACACUUGCGCGUAAAACAAGCGAUCUAGGUUCGACUCCUGGCCGAGGUA
rnacentral:tRNA from 1 species